AGGGCUUUCUGUAUAUAAAGAUUCUGACUUUCUCAGGGAUUACUUAGCAAAGUUGAUGAGUGGGAAACACUUGAAGAAACCGUUAUCCGCACAGUUCAAAAGACCAAUUUGAUGGAGCUAUUGAGAGUCGCAGAUACCAGGUGGCUGCAACUGUUUAUUAAAAACACAGCACUGUGCAAAAUCGCAAGAUGACGUAUACGGUGUGACGCCUGCCCGGUGCCGGAAGGUUAAUUGAUGGGGUUAGACUUCGGUCGAAGCUCUUGAUCGAAGCCCCGGUAAACGGCGGCCGUAACUAUAACGGUCCUAAGGUAGCGAAAUUCCUUGUCGGGUAAGUUCCGACCUGCACGAAUGGCGUAAUGAUGGCCACGCUGUCUCCACCCGAGACUCAGUGAAAUUGAAAUCGCUGUGAAGAUGCAGUGUACCCGCGGCUAGACGGAAAGACCCCGUGAACCUUUACUACAGCUUGGCACUGAACAUUGACCCUACAUGUGUAGGAUAGGUGGGAGGCUUUGAAACGCAGUCGCUAGAUUGCGUGGAGCCGUCCUUGAAAUACCACCCUUGUAGUGUUGAUGUUCUAACGUUGACCCCUUAUCGGGGUUGCGGACAGUGCCUGGUGGGUAGUUUGACUGGGGCGGUCUCCUCCCAAAGCGUAACGGAGGAGCACGAAGGUGGGCUAAUCACGGUUGGACAUCGUGAGGUUAGUGCAAUGGCAUAAGCCCGCUUGACUGCGAGAAUGACAAUUCGAGCAGGUGCGAAAGCAGGUCAUAGUGAUCCGGUGGUUCUGAAUGGAAGGGCCAUCGCUCAACGGAUAAAAGGUACUCCGGGGAUAACAGGCUGAUACCGCCCAAGAGUUCAUAUCGACGGCGGUGUUUGGCACCUCGAUGUCGGCUCAUCACAUCCUGGGGCUGAAGUCGGUCCCAAGGGUAUGGCUGUUCGCCAUUUAAAGUGGUACGCGAGCUGGGUUUAGAACGUCGUGAGACAGUUCGGUCCCUAUCUGCCGUGGGCGUUGGAGGCGCACCACU
rnacentral:rRNA from 1 species